UACGAAGGGAGCUAGCGUUGUUCGGAAUCACUGGGCGUAAAGCGCACGUAGGCGGAUGUGUCAGUCAGGGGUGAAAUCCCGGAGCUCAACUUCGGAACUGCCUUUGAUACAGCACGUCUUGAGUCCGAGAGAGGUGGGUGGAAUUCCUAGUGUAGAGGUGAAAUUCGUAGAUAUUGGGAAGAACACCGAUGGCGAAGGCAGCCAUCUGGACCGACACUGACGCUGAGGCGCGAAAGCGUGGGGAGCAAACAGG
rnacentral:rRNA from 1 species